rnacentral:rRNA from 1 species
UACGAAGGGGGGCUAGCGUUGUUCGGAGUUACUGGGCGUAAAGGGUGCGCAGGCGGCCGCGCGCGUGGGUGGUGAAAUCUCCCGGCUCAACUGGGAGGGGGCCAUCCAGACGGCGUGGCUUGAGGCUCGGAGGGGGGCGUGGAAUUCCGGGUGGAGCGGUGAAAUGCGUAGAGAUCCGGAGGAACACCGACGGCGAAGGCAGCGCCCUGGACGAGACCUGACGCUCAGGCACGAAAGCGUGGGGAGCAAACAGG